UACGGAGGGGGCUAGCGUUGUUCGGAAUUACUGGGCGUAAAGCGCACGUAGGCGGCUUUGUAAGUUAGAGGUGAAAGCCCGGGGCUCAACUCCGGAAUUGCCUUUAAGACUGCAUCGCUAGAAUUGUGGAGAGGUAAGUGGAAUUCCGAGUGUAGAGGUGAAAUUCGUAGAUAUUCGGAAGAACACCAGUGGCGAAGGCGGCUCACUGGCCCCGGUACUGACGCUGAGGUGCGAAAAGCGUGGGGGAGCAAACAGG
rnacentral:rRNA from 1 species